rnacentral:lncRNA from 1 species
UGCAAGACUGCUCAGAUAUUUUGAUUUAUUUACAGGGAAUAAAUGAGACUUCAGCAGCUGAAAUAAGAAAGCUGUUACCUGGAGGGAGCAAUAUUUUCAGGAGACGAAGAUGCUGAUAUGAUCCUUAAGGUAUUCUAACUGAUAAUAAUGGCUCCAAGUCAAUAGGAUGAACUUCCAGAGAAUCCCAACUAAUGCUACUACAGAUAUUUAGCUUGUCUGUUUCCUCUUUCUACCUUCAUACAUCAUCAAGAAGGAUUUGGUGGCAGUUACUGAAUUUGAUGAAUCUGACUGAAAUUUCUUUUCUGGGUUGUGUGUUACAGGGGUUGCUUGAGGAGGAAAUCUAUCCCAGUGGCUCAAUCAUCAGUCUCACUGCCAAGAGUAGCAGCACAGGUCAGUCUUGUUUUGUGACAUCCUACUUCACACAGGCAGCUCUGAGUAGCAUUACGUGGCAGUGGUGUGGUCCCCACCUUGUCCUCAUUGCUUCCAUGUGUGAAACUACGACUUGAGCAGCUAAAAGUUUAUAACAAAGCUUUCCCAUCAAAAAAGAGGUGGUGGUGACUGUCUUGUAGAUUUCUGAAUACUUCAGUAUUUCAGUGUGUAAUAAAAGUGUGAACCCUACUGUGCUUUGCA